rnacentral:rRNA from 1 species
AGUAAUGUCUGGGAAACUGCCUGAUGGAGGGGGAUAACUACUGGAAACGGUAGCUAAUACCGCAUAACGUCGCAAGACCAAAGAGGGGACCUUCGGGCCUCUUGCCAUCGGAUGUGCCCAGAUGGGAUUAGCUUGUUGGUGGGGUAACGGCUCACCAAGGCGACGAUCCCUAGCUGGUCUGAGAGGAUGACCAGCCACACUGGAACUGAGACACGGUCCAGACUCCUACGGGAGGCAGCAUG